AAUUUAAAAAUUUUGAAAUAUCGACCGUUCUACAAUUCAGUUAUUCGACAUAUUGAACCCCACCCCAGUAAUUGAUGACAGUUUCGUAUUCACAAACGCAUUCAUUAUCCACAAGUCAAAUCUUAGCUUUACGAAACAAGUGGUAAAAGAUACAGGUAAUUGUAACAUGAUAAGCAAGUUUUUCGAUAAUCACGAAAAUUCUAAUCGAAUUUUAUUUGUAGUCUUCUUUCUCCAUUGACAUUUUUUCAUUUUUCAGUUCAAAAAAUCUUUUGAAAGAACACAUACUCACACGCGUACAUGAUCGUAUGUUUGUAAAAAUUGUGGCAGAGAUUUCGCUUCGAAGUAUACGUCAAAGCACACGGCAAAACUCGUGAAAUGCGACCUCGACCUUACCAGUGCAGUCAAUGCAGCAAGUCUUUUCUGUGUCAACAAAAUCUUAAUCAGUACGAAAGGACUCACAAUGGCGUUGAGGAAUACGUCUGCCAUCAGUGCGGCCCGUAUUCAAAAAGCAUCUUACUAAUCAAGUAUUGAAAUAACUUUACAUACGUCGAGUUUCAUCAUUCGCUCUUUCGCUCUUAAAGCAGAAACGAGAGACCACGAACGUACGCACACUGGGGAAAAGCUUUAUCAGUGUGAAUUUUGCGGAGCUGUAUUUGGCCAAAGAUUGAAUCUUCAGUCUUACAGGCGAGUGGUGCACUACAACGAUAAGAGAUACAAAUGCACGACGCUAUCAAAUGUUUGACCGCGGCAUGCAACGUCAAACACUUGGAUCAUUGGUUACAUCGGAAGUUGACUUACUGGUUCGGUUGCUCAAUACAAAUUCGUUGGACCUUACAUCGUCGACGGAAUUCUCGAAGACCCAUAACUCUGCAUGGAGAUGAAUCUGCUAAAGUAUCAUCCAAUAAAUUUGUUGCUCGAUCGAGCUUUUGAACAUUCCUGUUUACGUAGUUCAAUCUGUCGAGGACCUCAAAGAAAUCUUCAAAACGUUUUCGUAAUGCUCGAUUGUCAAUAUGGAUGAAAGGGAAAGUGAUAAUCGCACCAGAGCAAAAACGCAAAACUCAAAAAUCUUAUCAUGAAGGAAAUAAAUGCUUUGCCAUGUGUCUAUCUGAACUACGAACGAUUGGAUUACGACUUGAAGGGUGAAAGGAAUGUCAGAAAACGUGAUGAUAAUACCUUGGGUGAUAUAGUCAACGACGAAGUUCUUCCGCCAUCAGUAAUCGUGAUUAAUCUCCGCCUUUGAGUUUUUAGAAACGACAAAGUGAAAAUGCAUUCUUUUCCUGUGUCUUUUUGGUUCACGAACAAACUAAACGGUUGCAUAGCAAUUGUUUUCAUAAUUUUUCUCAGUUCUACACCGACUAAACAAUGGGUCAUUUGUGUUUGUGGUAUUUAACACGUUUCCAUAUAGCUAAUUGAAACAAACAUUUCAGUACUUCUAUAUUUUUCAUCAUGUAGUCAAGAGUUCAUAGAAGUUUUAUAGAUUCGUCUGGAUUUUUUCCGUCUGUGAAUGUAAACUUUAAUAACCAAUCGAUGCAAUGACUCUUUAACCAAAAUUUUCUCGUGCACUAGAAAUCACAUUGAGAUUCUUAGAAUAAUGAAAAAUGUGCUGAAAAGUAAUUUAUAGAUUUUGUAGAGAUCAUGAGAUAAUUUUUCAUUGAAUUUGCAGACUAUAGAAAAUCCUGACAAAAUUAUUCAUCCAGUUUUCAUUCAUUGCAAACUAAUUGUAAGUAAGUUGGAAAGGCUUUCCGAAGAAGUUCGAAGACUCAAAAUUCCAGCAUUUUGGACGUUCAGAAGAAUGAGUAUUACUCACAGUUCGCCGGAUUACUGCCUACGCUUAUAUAGAACUUUCAAAAAUUAAAAUCAAUUUCGUAAAAAUGUAAUUUGAACAUCAAUAGUAAUCCCAAAAAUUUAUUACUAACGAAUUAUUUGUUCAUAUAUCAUGUGAAAAGAAUUUUGAACUCGCGUACAUUUUUUCUUUACUUACUAAAAGGUUCAUGGCUCCACUAUAGAAGAUGAUUAAAUACUAAAGGAUCAAAGUAAAAAA